rnacentral:rRNA from 1 species
GAUGAACGCUGGCGGCAGGCUUAACACAUGCAAGUCGAGCGGAGAUGAGGUGCUUGCACCUUAUCUUAGCGGCGGACGGGUGAGUAAUGCUUAGGAAUCUGCCUAUUAGUGGGGGACAACAUUCCGAAAGGAAUGCUAAUACCGCAUACGCCCUACGGGGGAAAGCAGGGGAUCUUCGGACCUUGCGCUAAUAGAUGAGCCUAAGUCGGAUUAGCUAGUUGGUGGGGUAAAGGCCUACCAAGGCGACGAUCUGUAGCGGGUCUGAGAGGAUGAUCCGCCACACUGGGACUGAGACACGGCCCAGACUCCUACGGGAGGCAGCAGUGGGGAAUAUUGGACAAUGGGCGGAAGCCUGAUCCAGCCAUGCCGCGUGUGUGAAGAAGGCCUUUUGGUUGUGAAGCACUUUAAGCGAGGAGGAGGCUACCUGGAUUAAUACUCUAGGAUAGUGGACGUUACUCGCAGAAUAAGCACCGGCUAACUCUGUGCCAGCAGCCGCCGUAA